UAGGUGAAAACCAAAAAGAGGUAUCUAACUGUUAAUUAGAAAAAUGUGGAGCAUCCACUCAUCUAG
rnacentral:tRNA from 1 species